rnacentral:rRNA from 1 species
UACGCACGCUGGCGGCGUGCUUAACACAUGCAAGUCGAACGGAAAGGCCCUAGUUUGCUGGGGUGCUCGAGUGGCGAACGGGUGAGUAACACGUGGGUAACCUGCCCUUCACUUUGGGAUAAGUUCGGGAAACUGGGUCUAAUACCGGAUACGACCGCCUCGUGCGGGUGUGGUGGUGAGUGUUUCGGUGUGGGAUGGGCGCGCGGCCUACCAGCUUGUUGGUGGGGUGAUGGCCUACCAAGGCGGCGACGGGUAGGCGGCCUGAGAGGGUGGACGGCCACAUUGGGACUGAGACACGGCCCAGACUCCUACGGGAGGCAGCAGUGGGGAAUAUUGCACAAUGGGCGGAAGCCUGAUGCAGCGACGCCGCGUGGGGGAUGACGGCCUUCGGUUUGUAAACUGCUUUCGCCUGUGACGAAGCGUGACUGACGGUAGAGGGAAAAGAAGCACCGGCUAACUACGUG